rnacentral:rRNA from 1 species
UACGUAGGCAGCGAGCGUUGUUCGGAAUUAUUGGGCGUAAAGAGUGUGUAGGCGGUGCUCCAAGUCUGUUGUGAAAUCUCCCGGCUCAACCGGGAGGGUGCGCCGAAAACUGGAGGGCUCGAGUGUGGGAGAGGUAAGCGGAAUUCCUGGUGUAGCGGUGAAAUGCGUAGAUAUCAGGAGGAACACCUGUGGUGUAGACGGCUUACUGGACCAUUACUGACGCUGAGGCACGAAAGCGUGGGUAGCAAACAGG